rnacentral:rRNA from 1 species
AGAGUUUGAUCCUGGCUCAGAUUGAACGCUGGCGGCAUGCCUUACACAUGCAAGUCGAACGGUAACGCGGGGCAACCUGGCGACGAGUGGCGAACGGGUGAGUAAUAUAUCGGAACGUGCCCAGUAGUGGGGGAUAGCCCGGCGAAAGCCGGAUUAAUACCGCAUGAGACCUGAGGGUGAAAGCGGGGGAUCGCAAGACCUCGCGCUAUUGGAGCGGCCGAUAUCAGAUUAGCUAGUUGGUGGGGUAAAGGCCUACCAAGGCAACGAUCUGUAGUUGGUCUGAGAGGACGACCAGCCACACUGGGACUGAGACACGGCCCAGACUCCUACGGGAGGCAGCAGUGGGGAAUUUUGGACAAUGGGCGCAAGCCUGAUCCAGCAAUGCCGCGUGCAGGAAGAAGGCCUUCGGGUUGUAAACUGCUUUUGUCAGGGAAGAAAUCUUCUGGGUUAAUACCUCGGGAGGAUGACGGUACCUGAAGAAUAAGCACCGGCUAACUACGUGCCAGCA